UGAGACUGUCACACACAUUCAACAACGCUGUGAGGGUCCCUUCGGAAAUAUUUCGUUGAGCACUGGAAGGGUGUAUAUCUCCCGGAGCAGCCGUCUCUGUGGCUCAGACCGAUGUAAUAACCAGACAGUAGCAGAGCCUGUCAACACCACCCUGAACGGACUGCAAUGUUUCGGAUGCUACAGUCCAUCCAUGGCCUCCUGCCUGGCCAAUCUACAGAAGGUGGAGUGUGUGGGUCUGGAGAAUCGCUGUGUGAAUGGAACAGGCGAACAGAUAUUGUUGUCAGAUAUUGGUGAUGAUGUUGUAUUUAAAGGAUGUACUUCGGCGAAUGAGUGCGGAGCGUGGAUGGAUUUGGAACCGUUUGGUUUGUUGCUAAGCGACCUGUCCUGCUGUGAAGGCUCUUUGUGUAAUGGAGACACAGGGAUCACCACC